UAGCCUCACUCCCUGAAAUGGUGUUCUAG
rnacentral:misc_RNA from 1 species